rnacentral:misc_RNA from 1 species
CGAGAAUUUUUACGGCUUCAAUUGAUUACCAAUUUAAAUUUAAUUCUAUUGCCAGUUUUUAAGUGUAGGGACUUGCACUUAGGUUGUUUCCUUUUCCAUGUUGUUGCUGCUGUUAUUGUUUUUGUGGAAGGUGAUAAGCAAGCUUAAUUGAUCCGUAAGUUCCAAACCAAACCAUGGGACUUACCUGCUACAAGCCCAGGAUUCAGGAACAUGAUACAAAAUAAAAUUAGCACAGAGGAUAAAGGGGAUACUUAAUUACAAUUGCUUCUAACUAAUAAAAACGAGAUUUACAAUAAAAAUUAAUUUCUCAACUCUUAGUCUUACCCCAUCUAGAGCACACCUUUCUUACUGUUUGUAAUAUUCUUCAUGUAAUUGGGAAAAUUCAUAAUUUUAUUCUGUAGGCAUUAAAGGAAAACUGAUAAUUAUAUUUUGUGGGCAUUAGAGAAUAAACUUUAUUGAAUAUGCUGAUUGUUAACCAGAAAUGACAUUAGCAUUCCAAGCUAACUUUGAACAAAAAAAUGAUUUGGAAAGCUUUGCCUUUCAAAGCUUUAACAGCCUAUGCGAACUUUUCAUUCCAGUCUUCAACAGCUUUGUGCAAUUUUUUUCCCAAGAUCAGCUUGGAGAACUUGGAAGUUUAAAAUGGGUGAUUUGAGUAUCCACAUGUGUAUCACACAACAAGCAUUGAACAGAAGACAAAUUCCCCUAUUUGUUUGUUGCCGACUUGCUGUUCUCUUGUAGGAGGUUUAUUGAGAAACCCAAUGAAGAAACAAAACAAUGCGUUGUAAUAGAAAGUAAAAACAAACUAUCUUGUGCCAAGUAAUCUUUGGAUCUUUAAAUGUCCCAAGCACUAGCAGGCAGAAAACAUACCAACUUUGCAGCGACAUAUAGAGCUUGUCCUGCUCUUGAUGAUUAUCGUAGAUAAUCCCACAAAUCAUGCCUUUAAUAUAAGCUAAUCAUUGUAAUUAGCAGCAGGCCUGCACCAAUGAUCCCUAGAAACAAAAAUUGCCUUUUAGAACAUAUAGGAAUUCAAGAAUCACACAGUAUUCUUGCACUAGAUUUAACAAGAAAGGCCCAUGUGGAUACAAAUGAUCUAACCAUAGAUAAGUAUUCUUGCCAUUUUCAAUUCUGUGAAAAUGUGAAGUUUGAUUUUCUCUUAAUUAUCAAAAUUUUUCUAUAAGCCCAUAAUAAUUCACCUCGCUUUGAGAGAAACCUAUAGCUUCUGUUAUGAAAUCCAAUAUGCCAUUUGGGAUUUUUUUUUGUCUUUUGGUUGUCUGAAUUUUCUGACUUUCAGUCUACCUUUCUAUUGUGGCUCCUAGGGAUUAAAAUUUUGGCUAUC